rnacentral:rRNA from 1 species
CCUACGGGAGGCAGCAGGGAGGAAUAUUGGGCAAUGGGCGCGAGCCUGAACCAGCCAAGUAGCGUGAAGGAUGACGGCCCUACGGGUUGUAAACUUCUUUUAUAAAGGAAUAAAGUGAGGCACGUGUGCCUUUUUGUAUGUACCCUAUGAAUAAGGAUCGGCUAACUCCGUGCCAGCAUCCGCGGUAAUACGGAGGUUCCGAGCGUUAUCCGGAUUUAUUGGGUUUAAAGGGAGCGUAGAUGGGUUGUUAAGUCAGGUGUGAAAGUUUGCGGCUCAACCGUAAAAUUGCAAUUGAAACUGGCAGCCUUGAGUACAGUUGAGGUAGGCGGAAUUCGUGGUGUAGCGGUGAAAUGCUUAGAUAUCACGAAGAACUCCGAUUGCGAAGGCAGCUUACUAGACUGCCACUGACAUUGAUGCACGAAAGUGUGGGUAUCAAACAGGAUUAGAUACCCCAGUAGUC